AAAACGACUCUCGGCAACGGAUAUCUCGGCUCUCGCAUCGAUGAAGAACGUAGCGAAAUGCGAUACUUGGUGUGAAUUGCAGAAUCCCGUGAACCAUCGAGUUUUUGAACGCAAGUUGCGCCCAAAGCCAUUAGGCUAAGGGCACGUCUGCCUGGGCGUCACGCAUCCCGUCGCCA
rnacentral:rRNA from 5 species